ACGGUAACAGGAAGCAGCUUGCUGCUUUGCUGACGAGUGGCGGACGGGUGAGUAAUGUCUGGGAAACUGCCUGAUGGAGGGGGAUAACUACUGGAAACGGUAGCUAAUACCGCAUAACGUCGCAAGACCAAAGAGGGGGACCUUCGGGCCUCUUGCCAUCGGAUGUGCCCAGAUGGGAUUAGCUUGUUGGUGGGGUAACGGCUCACCAAGGCGACGAUCCCUAGCUGGUCUGAGAGGAUGACCAGCCACACUGGAACUGAGACACGGUCCAGACUCCUACGGGAGGCAGCAGUGGGGAAUAUUGCACAAUGGGCGCAAGCCUGAUGCAGCCAUGCCGCGUGUAUGAAGAAGGCCUUCGGGUUGUAAAGUACUUUCAGCGGGGAGGAAGGGAGUAAAGUUAAUACCUUUGCUCAUUGACGUUACCCGCAGAAGAAGCACCGGCUAACUCCGUGCCAGCAGCCGCGGUAAUACGGAGGGUGCAAGCGUUAAUCGGAAUUACUGGGCGUAAAGCGCACGCAGGCGGUUUGUUAAGUCAGAUGUGAAAUCCCCGGGCUCAACCUGGGAACUGCAUCUGAUACUGGCAAGCUUGAGUCUCGUAGAGGGGGGUAGAAUUCCAGGUGUAGCGGUGAAAUGCGUAGAGAUCUGGAGGAAUACCGGUGGCGAAGGCGGCCCCCUGGACGAAGACUGACGCUCAGGUGCGAAAGCGUGGGGAGCAAACAGGAUUAGAUACCCUGGUAGUCCACGCCGUAAACGAUGUCGACUUGGAGGUUGUGCCCUUGAGGCGUGGCUUCCGGAGCUAACGCGUUAAGUCGACCGCCUGGGGAGUACGGCCGCAAGGUUAAAACUCAAAUGAAUUGACGGGGGCCCGCACAAGCGGUGGAGCAUGUGGUUUAAUUCGAUGCAACGCGAAGAACCUUACCUGGUCUUGACAUCCACGGAAGUUUGCAGAGAUGAGAAUGUGCCUUCGGGAACUGUGAGACAGGUGCUGCAUGGCUGUCGUCAGCUCGUGUUGUGAAAUGUUGGGUUAAGUCCCGCAACGAGCGCAACCCUUAUCCUUUGUUGCCAGCGGUCCGGCCGGGAACUCAAAGG
rnacentral:rRNA from 1 species